CUGGUGGUUGCAGAACAGCCAUUGCACGCAAUGAGAAAGGGUCUACUAGAUGUGCUUCCAAAAAAUUCUUUAGAAGACUUAACAGCAGAGGAUUUCCGACUUUUGGUGAACGGCUGUGGUGAAGUCAAUGUGCAGAUGCUCAUCAGUUUCACGUCUUUCAAUGAUGAGUCAGGUAGGAAACUGCACGUCUUUCUGAGAGGUAAAAGCCAAGUCUUCUUCCCAAGCCCUGUAAGCAAUCAGGCCUGAGUUUUUAUUCUCAUUACAUUUAAAGGUAUGAUUAAGUAUUUUGUUAACUUAGAAUUAGGCUAUUCUUUUGUUCCUUAU
rnacentral:lncRNA from 1 species